GUUUGUUUACAAUCUCAAACAAAAGCGAAUUCAUUUAUUCCUUUGAAUUUUUUGUAAUCGGUGAUAAUAGUUCGGAGUGAUUGAACUGCAACUAAAAAGAUUUGCAUUGUAAUAAAGGAUCGGACCAAAGAGAAGUCGGAACGAAUUGCAGCCUGGUCAUCAUCUGGCCCUACAGACUCCCACGGACUUCCAGCGUACUCUCCCUUCUCUGCUCAACUCGGUGAACUCCGGGCCGUUUCAGGUAUUUUAGGACCUACACUUCACAAGGAUUGCUCGUAGUUUUAAUUGUUGUUAGAGACAAUCUGUGGAUCCCAAACAACAAUCGGACGCAUGAUAUAUGCCCAAAGAAUUUCCCUGCAAAUCUUCAAUCUCGUAACAGGACGAUCCGAUUUUUCCUACUACCUUCGCCAAGGAAAACGUAUCUGCCAAUUUCGCAGAAAAAUUUUUGGAUUUAUUGGACUGGACAAAGUUUUUCUUCAUCACCGUUUCUCCUAUUUCAAACGUUGUCUCAAUUUCCAAGAUGUGAAGUGUGAUGCAGAACAAUUCGGUGGAGCUUCGAAAUGAAAAUGAAAUCCAAUUUACCCAAUACAAAUUCAAAUAAACUUCGAGGAAGUUGUAACUAAAGUCUUCAAAACUAUGAAUUUCAAAUAACUUAUCCGAAUAUUUAUUUUACAAAAAACUAAUAAUUCAAAUUUUAACCACUAAACUAACCCUAUUAAUAAUAAAUUCAAUUCAAUAUAUCUACAAAUUCAAAUAACAAUAAUAAUAUAUACAAUUGUUUUUUUUAGAACCAAACCGUUAGUUGGGCGCCAAAUGUAACGGGAGGAAGGAUAUCGAGGACAAGGAGGCGAUACAACCUUCACUUAAGCGCCAGGCAAGUUAUUACACUUGCCGUGAAGGAGCGAGAUUUGUCUCUUCAGUUUCCCGUGCCCGACCGUGAGACCUCAGGGCGAGUUCCUACCAACGAUCUUCAACCCACACUUGAAUUGUCUUGGCGCUCACCAAGGAAUAGAAUUCAAUCAAAUUGGUAUUCAAAACAUCCAGGAUGGAAAGGUUUCCUUUGAAGGUUUGCCUUCCCAGAGCCUAUGCUACCUCGAACCCGAAAACCGAACAAUUGAAAAGCCUCCAAACAGCCAAAAUUCAAUCAACAUAAAUUAUAAUGUGAAAUACAGUAUCUAUACAGUUGUUUUCUAUUAAAUUCAAAUU